CUGAAAUACAGCCUGGCCAGGUGCCCAGCUUUGUUCUCUGGGAGAGUUUUGCUCAGUAUGGUGCUCUUUUUCCUUCUUCAUCUGAUGUCCUUCCUCCAGGUGUUCCGGUUUGCUGCAUUAUCUGUGGACCCUCUGCCAGUCCCCACGCUCUCCACGGACCCCAGUUAUCAGGUAUAUCAUGAAGGGGAGCGUGUAGCUUUGAUAUGCUUGGCUCCAACAAAGAGGACAAUAGGUGGAUUUUGGUUCUUCAACCAAAGUGGGGACCAAAUCUAUCAGAGAGCACCCUAUCGCCACACAGCUGCCUGGCUCCAGCUCACAGCUGCAAAAGCGUCCAGUGGAGAGUACACUUGCAUGUACUGGGUGGAGGAUUCUGGACAAGAAAUCUCUUCCAAUAGGAGCCUUCCUCUUUCAGUUAAGGUGCAGGAUGCUCCCAUGGCUCCAAUUUUGUCCCUGGAUCCUCAGCAACAGGUCUACAUAUCUGGGGACUAUGUCAAGCUGCUCUGCUCUGUCCCCUCAUCUCCAGACUAUGUUAGAGAAAUCCAGUACUACGGGGACUUUGGACUUGCAAUCUCUAUCCCAGUAUCAAACAUUAAAAACUACAGUUACAAUCUCAGGAUCACAGGAGAGGAGGUCUCUGGGUCUUACAGUUGUGCCUAUUUUGUAUUUUGGUCUAGACGUGCUGUUCGCUCAGAGAAGAGUCGCUGGGUCCAUGUCUAUGUGAAAAGCAAGAAAAUCAGCUGGAUCCGAGAGAUUGUUGUGGGUGGCUCAUUCUUUACCAUCAAUGGCCUCAUCUUUUUCUUCUCCCACUGUCUGAUGAAGAGAAGAGAUCUGGAGGAGAGAUUCAGGAUGGAAUAACAAUAUGAAGAGAAGAAACAUCCCCAAAGGUUUUUUUUACCCUGUUUAGAAAAGGCAAUCCAUGCCCUAGGACCUUGCCUCAUUCCAUGUUGCCUGCAUCAGCGUCCCCAAAAGGCAAGAGUGAUGAAUGCUGAGCUGAAAUUACUUGGCCUGCUUCUCUCCUCUGUGCUUUCAAACCUGUCUCACGUUUCUCUGAUUAAAGCUGGGUGUUGUGUCUUUGCGGUGUGGGUUUCAUCAAAAGAUGCAUCUUCCUAUCCUCCAUCCUGGAGAGUGUGUUCGUGUGUGUUCGUGUGUGUGUGUUCGUGUGCGUGUGUUUGUGCGUGUGUGUGUGUGUGCAUCUGCUCCACCGCACAUGUAACUCUACAAUGUUAUCAUUAAAUCUGGUUCUUACUUUCACCUGAAA
ensembl:lncRNA